rnacentral:rRNA from 1 species
UACGUAGGGGGCAAGCGUUGUCCGGAAUCAUUGGGCGUAAAGAGCGUGUAGGCGGCCCGAUAAGUCCGCUGUGAAAAGUCCAGGGCUCAACCCUGGGAUGCCGGUGGAUACUGUCGGGCUCGAGUCCGGAAGAGGAGUGUGGAAUUCCUGGUGUAGCGGUGAAAUGCGCAGAUAUCAGGAGGAACACCAAUGGCGAAGGCAGCACUCUGGGACGUGACUGACGCUGAGACGCGAAAAGCGUGGGGGAGCAAACAGG